GCCUCCUUUGAGUUUUCAACACCUGUACAAUGUGUAGGAAAGGAUCAAGAACACAUUUAAACUCAAAUGACCUACAUACUGAUGAAGUACGUAACCAGGAAGCCAUUGAGUGUAUUUAAAGGGAAAGAUACACACUACCUGUAAUUACUUGAGACAGAGAAUUUUCUGGAUUUACUAACGUACAAAAAUAUACACAGAUAUUUUUCCCUCUGCAGAUUAUGCAAUGUGACAAGAUAAUGGACCGACUGAUCGCAUUUUCUGUAGAUACAAACCAUACUGUUAGCAAAAUAUAAUUUUAUCGAUGUUAACUGAUAACUCAUGUUCAGUGAUUAUGACACUCCCAUACACAAAUUACCGUUCUUUAGUCAAAUCUGUGUAUGUAGCAUCUAUAUCAUGUACCAUUUUGCCUAGAUAAGCAUUUUCUUAUAAGAGAUACCUUGGACUAUUUUCCCAUACACUUUAAAGGAUGACUACAUCUUACAUCAUUAUUUUAAUCUUAGUAGUUUGCUACUAUUGAAGUAUCUUUCUCUGCAGAAUUUUUCUUCUUGGCAUGAUUUUGAUACGCAUUCACUUACAGCUGUCAAAGCUGUAGUCUGUGUGUUGUUAUACCUGUGGCUUCCUCAUUCUUUGAAGGGUAAUAGGCAAUUGCUGUGCAUGUUGUGUUGAGAUAUGCCAGUGUUCCAUGUGAUGAGUCUGCACAGCAGAGACCAGUGGGUAAGACUGUAAGAGAGAAGAAACAGUAUUUUCCUCAGUGCCUCAUGCAAAUGAAUCAGUGAUCUGGCCUAAGUACCAAAAUCUACAGAUUUUCUCCAAGUCCUGCUACUUGACUCAUUUGCUUUGGACAGUGAAAGCUGGGUGGUAGACUGGUAUCACUUCUAUGAUGCUUGAAGCCAAAUUGUAGAAGAGUAGCCUAGAAUAGCUGGAGUUGAGCUAGCUGGAUUUUGAAAACACAUAUGUAGUAAUGUCUAAAUAUUUGUUCUUGGCUGUAUGAUAACUUUGGUAUCUACUGGUACCUGCUCUCCAUAACAAUUUGCAUGGUCUUGGAAUUUAGGUCUUUCUCCCCUCUAGCUUGGCCUGAUUUUACAUCUGUGUAAUUCUACAUAUUUCAACACAGCUAAACAAAAUAGAGGCUAAAUUUGUUUGUGUAUCAUGCUUGUAUUCAUGACAUUUUCAACUGUAAUGCACUGUAAACCUCAUGAUGAUCUGCCAACAGCAAAAUAAAACUAUGAUAUUGAAUUACAUCUUUAAUAACAUCAUGAAAGACAAAGGGAAUAACUUAAAAUAUCUUUAAAUUAUAAACAGCAUGUAUUUUUAGUGAAGUUUUGAGUGAAUUUUUGGAACAGAACAGCAUUCAAAAAUAGAUUUACCUGCUUUAUAUGCUUCCUGCUGUCACAGUUAAUAAUAUAUGACAAUAAUUAGUUUAGCCUAGGAAUAGAAAAACAAGGGUAUGGGAGACAGUUGGAAGAAAGAUGUUGAAGCUUUCUGACAGAAAGUUCUUCAGUAUGGUGUGGUCUUCUGUUUUGUCACUUAACUAGUGAAUUACCAGCUUCAUUCAUAGUUAUGCAAUAGUACUUUGAGUCUGAUUUUUUCCCAUAGCAGAAAAUCAGCUUUAAUUUCUUAAAACUGGAUCCUCUAUGCAGCAAUAAACAUGGGAAAGAGGAGUAAAGCUCACGAUACAAGUACUUCAGUUAGGUGGAAUUAUACUGUCUUUCUGCAUAGUAAGAAUGUGUCAAAACUUGUGAUGGAAUUUCCUAAUAAGCAGGUGUGCAUCAUAAAAUAAUGGCACAAGAUUUACAUCUGGGAUUUAAAGAGUCAGAAAGAUGGCUCUAUCUGGGGACAGUGUGGUCUUCUUAAAGAUUGAUUGACAUAUGUCCACAGCUCAGCAAGUAUGCAGGGCUAUACUGGCACUGGGCUUGUAGGGGCUACUGCAACUUUUGAAUGGACUUAGUUAAAAUCAAUUUUCUGCACAGUGAAAUGGGGGAGCAAGUUUUGAGAGAGCUUGGAAAAAGACUUUCCAGUGGAUUUGAGAAGUAGAUUUUUAUGUAGCUGGAAAAAAAAAAAAAUAGCUUUCAUUGUACUGAAAAGUAGAGCCAUCAAAUCCACACUGCAAAAUACAAAAUAUUUUUUGUGAUACUCAGGCAGCUGUCAAAUUAUACGUGAAUUCAGCAAGAAAUUGAAAUAAUGCUUUUGUGAAAACUGUGCCACAAGACUGGUUUUGGAUUAAAAAAAAAUCCAACUGGAUAAAGCAAACUCACUCUUGCUAUGUUACUUCUUCUGUAAUUAAUUCUGCAUUAGUGGCACUCAGAACCUCAAUAAAUCAAAAAGGUGAGAAUUUUGCCCCAUUCCACUCUGCUUUCUAGCUUCCUUCAGAUCAGAUUUCUGGAAUAAAAAAGGCUUCUAAUAUUUUUCCUUCACCUGCAAAAUUCACAACAUGUCACUCAGAUGAACAUCUGUUUUGUUUUCUCUCUGGAGAUAACACAAAGAUACAUGUAAUCCUCAUCAGCAAUUCUUUCAGCUUCUCUGAUGCUAGCUCUGACUAUUUUCUACAGCUUGUUUCAGCAGGGUGUGCAGAAAGAGCUCCGUCAGGACCCACUGUACUUUUAGCCAUUACCUGUUGCUUCUGCUCAAUAGACAGAAAAUGAGAAAGUUUCUUAUCUCGGUGUGAUUCACAUAAACUUUUGAGAGGACAAGGGGACAUACCACAUAAUAUUAUUCAUAAGUUUUUCUUCCCUCUCCAACAACAUUAUCUAUGGUACUUACUCUUAUUUAUUCAUCUCUUUUAUAUAACCUGGUCUGAUUAUCUCCUCAGCUUGAGGAUGUGGGAACAGCAAGCCAAAGAAGCUUUCCUGCGCUACUGAAAAUUGAGUGUAUAGUUGAAAGCUUUCUGUGAAACAUGGCAAUAGCCUUUUCUCAUUUCUCAUUUUUCAUUAUUUUGGCCUAAGAACAUCUAUCUUUAUUAAAUGCAUCAUGCUUUACUAUCUGUGAGUGCAGAAGACAUAAAUCUUACACAUACUGCUGUUUGUAUAUUCUGUAAUGUAAAUAGGUCUAGAACUGCAUUUGCAGUGUUACUGCAAGAUGCAUCAAUUCUACCAUCUAGUAAUUAUUGUAAUAACUAAUUAAAAGAAGAUACAUGAUCAAAUUAGCUGUUAUAUUAGCAGUGUCUUACUAGAGGAGUGAGGGAGGAAAUAAGGAUCCUUUAUGAGAGAAUGAAGGUGACAGAAUAAGGUUUUUUAUAUUAUAGUGUAUUGAUUACUGGUAUUAUUUUUCUGUGUAAGAAGUUUCUGCAGUGUCCACAUGAAUGUUAUUUAUUCAUCAUUGAGAGAAAUAUUCUUCUCAGCUGCCUAAAACGUAGGCCAUGCAACCUUGAUACUGGCAAUGAGAUGAAUGUGAGUCUAAAUAGAUGGUGCUCAACAUCCAGAGACCCUUACUUUUGUAAACUGUGUUUGGAAGAGAUGGAUAACUGCCAAAGGACAUGCCUGACCAUGUAUAUUGAUGGGAUUAUGUAGAUAUGUCUCUGCUUGUUGCUGAGAGGUUAACAAGGCUCUCAUGAGACUACAGUAUAAAGAAAACCAUUGAUGCACCAGCACAAAAAAUCAAAGAAUAGUCCAAUAACAAUCACAACAAGGAGCAGCAGCUACCAUUAGUAGAGUAACCAAAGGGAGCAAUUGUAAGCUUUGUUUCUGAACACAGAAACUGAAGAAAGACUGAAAAUAAUAGUUUUCAGGGAAUAUAGGCAUAUUGAUGUGAGUAGGAAUUAUUUCCUGCUAGGAGUUGUUACAAAUUACUUUUCCCCAUUCUGUAAGGAUGAACUCUUUUGCUGUAUUUUAUUAUUCAGCACUGUGAUAUCGCUCUUCCCUAGUUUCCUCAGAAAAGGCUUAGAAGAACAAACCCUUUCUGUACUAGCUGUGCAUACAAUCAGGUGAAGAAGCUGUCAGCUCUUGGUAUGAUUUCUAUGUGGGCAGUUUUUGAGAGAUGUUGCUAAAUACAGUUUUAUUCAUGUUUUAAUCUCCAGUUUCGGGGGACAGGUGGGGAGGGAGUGGAAGAUAAGCAGCUAUUCAGGCCAUAUACAUCAGAAAUGCUGUAGACUUGAUGACAGCAACUACAAGAUUUCAUAUGCUCUCUAAGCCUACUUUAUCUUACCUGCCAAAUGCCAUGAUACAGCCAAGUAAACACAUUAAAAGCAUACUAUCAAUUGAUCAGUUUUUCAAAAUUCUUGGUCAUCUGGGUAUUUAAUGGAGUUUAUAGUUUUUGAUGUAACUCAAAACUUUGUAACUUUUGAUGUGUAUUUGUUACCCUCUGAAAAGUUCCAGUAGUUCAAAGAAUAUAAAUGCCAAAAGAGAUGAGGGAGAAUUGAUUUUUAAUUUUAUCUGAAUAUUUCCAGCAUAUAAUACACUUAUUCAAAAAACUGGGAUCAAAUGUAACAGCAUGAUGUUCUGUUUCUUUAUUUUGUAGGCUAGGCAGAUUGGCUUACCGUGCUCAUUUUGUCAGAAUUUAUAUAUUGGUUUAUGGGGAAAAAUAUAGGGACUGAAGGAAUAGAUUCAACAUGUUCUCAAACAAGGUUUUCUGGUGCAGGUAGCACUGUCCAGGAAUUCCAGAUACUGAUCCCUUUUGUCCAAUGGAAUUGUAAGAUAUUAAGCUUGUUGUUUACUUACUAAACAAUAAUAAAAACUUUCCAUGUAAUAUAGAAUUAAAGACAAACUCAAGGCCUUCAUGAGUCCAUAUAGCUCCCAGGUGACAAGUGAAGCAGAAGAUUGAAGUAAAACAAAUAAAUAAAAGGAUUAAAACAAAGCCCGUACUUGUUUGUAAGAGACAAAAUUUCACCAAAAAAAGUUCUUAAAUAUUUUACAUUUUGCUAUAUGUACAUCUUUCAAAUGUAUGCAUUGACGAAGUGUAACUAGUACAAAUAUAGAAAAAUUAUAUGUAAUAACUUAAAUAUAAUUGGAUUUCCCAAAACUUUUACUAAAACCAGGAAAAAUGCCUGCCAUAUUACUUUUAGGAAUUGAGAGAUUGGUAGAGCAAGUAUCAACAGCAAAGGGGAGUGUUUAGCAGCCAAGAAGGCCAGAAUUUUAUCAAAAGCAAAGUCAUGGCAAUAUCUGGACAAACCCAAAUAUCAGAAGGAGUUUUAAGUGUCCAUGAAAUUGUUAGUGGGAAAAUGCUUAAUCACCAAAGACUUUAAAAUGAAAAAACUAAGAGAAAUUAAUCCUUGUGGAACCAUACUGCUUGAAAUGCUGUUAAUCCUAUGUGAAAUAAAUAAAUAAAAAAGUAUCCAAACAAUCACUUCUCUAGUUUUACGAUGGUACUUGAGAGAUGCUUUCUCUGAAGGUUAGCAUACUGUGGCUGUGUAUUAAAAGCACCUUUCACUGCUCUUCACAGGGAAGCUAUAUAAAAUGGGCAAGUAACAUUUUAUCAAAUAUUUACAAUGCAGUGCACAUGAAAGCAGGGCACUAAAAGACUAUCUGACAAUAAUCAAGAAGGUGCAGGGAAAGCAUGUGUGAAUACUGAAAUUUGAAGGACCUAAACUGUCCUUUCCAGAAAUCGUGUGUUCUUGCACUUUUCAUCCUGAGGAAACCCCCCUUUGAAGCCAGAGCAGUACUUUGGGCUCCAGGCUGAGGCCUGCACUAAAUACUGCUUGGGAUGCUCUUGUUGGCACAGACACCAUGACUGAUCAAAGACAAUUGUUUAAAUGACCAUCAGCAUUUAUAUAUCUCUUUCUUAAUCUGUGCACAAAAAUGAUCCCCAGCAAGAACAUCAGAACAUGGAAACUUGUUCUAGAUUUCCCCCUAGGGAUGUGAACUACUCUGAACUCCAGGACACUCUACUGAGAGUGAAAAAUUUCCACAAAUUUCUGUGGUUUUAGGCCACUAAUAUGUGGUGGAGGGUAAGGUUAUUCUACGUGGUGUCACAAUGCAGAUAACAAGAUACUUUGUCAUAAAUGAGACAUGCUUUUUCUCUGCUGUAUUUGCUCUCUCCCUAAUGCAUUUUCUACUUUGUGUUGCUGUCAAAAAUAUUAUAAUGUAGUGUUGUAGGAGACUAGGUUAUUGACUCAUCUGGGAUAUGGAAAUCCUGUUAAUUUUAGAAAGUGUGUUUAAUAAAAUUGCAUCAUUGGCAGAUACCUUUUCAUAAUAUUAUACUGCAUUUAUUAGGCAGAGAAAAUCUCUUUGCACUAGGUUCAAAGCCAGAAAUUGAUUUCCAAAGGAGCCGGAUGCCUAGGUUGCUUAGAUAUUUUGAAAAUCCCAGUAGGCCUCUAUUUGUAGUUUUUGGCACCUAAAUACCCUUGAAAAUCUGGCUCAAGAGUUAUUACAAUAACACAAAGGAAUAAUAACUUAUGUUUUUCAUGCCAGAAGGAUUUUACUGGCACUAAGCAUCUUGAUGUUACACUAGGGGAAAUUAUAUAUACAUGUUUGAGAGCACUGAAUUAAUUAUAUCCUAAAAUAAGACGUUGUUUAACAUAUGUAAAGAAUCUGUUCUCAAAUACAUUAUUCCUUGUAGGGCUUGAGAUAAAGUGCUUUACCAGCCUAGGAAGACGGUAAACAGGGAGAUGGCCAGUAUUCACUGGUUCACUGGUAGUCUGGAAACCAGACAUGGAGCAACUGAAGCAUAUUGCUCAGCCUUAAUGCCAGACUCAUCACUAUUAAUUUUUUUUUCUCCCUUGCUGCUAUUCUUUUGCUUAAGCUUCUUAAAGUCUGCUUGUCCAUUUUCCAGUUCCUAUCAAAAUACCUCAUAUAAUUUCAAAAUAACCUUGAAAUGAUUUAUUUUGACAAUUUUGAUGUUACGAAUCAGAAAGAGGAAUAGAUAUUUUGGCUUCUGGGUUAUCCUUAAGCGAGGGAAGAAAUAAAUGGAGUCUAGUCAAUGUACUGAACUAUGUAUGUAUUUUCUUCAUGGCCUCAGGAAGACCCUAGAGCUAAAAGCUCUAUAUUAAUUUUUGAUGGUUGGUUUCUAUUCUGAUGAAAACUGUUUCUUUAUAUCUGUGGCAGGUAAUACAGUUGAAGAAGCAAGAGCUAUAGGCCUGUGAAAACUUCAGUAAUACUUUUAUAAUUUUAUUUUAAACUCAUGGCCAUAAUUGCAGAAAAUAGCUUUUCACUCAUUUUUUCUGUAACUCAGGUUGUAUAUCCAUCUGUGAUAGAAAAUGACUGAAAGUAAAAUUGAUAGAUCUGAUUCAGGCAGGACUUUUCUACCUUGCUUCCUCUCCCGAACAUGAGCGAUGAGAAUUGCAAGAUAUAAUGUUCUUGACACAUUCUGAAGGACUGGUAAAAUCCAAAUUCUCUGCUACACUAAAAUUAAAAAUCCAACUUGACAUGGAAAUGGGGAUAUUCACAACUGAAGUAGAUUUGUGCUGAAGUAGAUGCACGUGCUGUAAGCCUGGUUCUUUGCCCUCACUUUGCUCUGAUGGAAAUUCAGGGUGAUACCUGACUGGAUCCAACACAAUGUCCGCAACUAAUUCUAGUGUAGUUCUCUGAUGACCAAUGCCCCAUCCUCUAGGAGAAUAUGGUGCAUAGCCUCCAUAAUCUCUUCUGUAGUGGUUUUGGAGAUCAAUGGUUGCUUAAAAGCAGGAAGAUAGUUACCUUUUCUCUACUGUACCUGCCACAGAGAGCAGUACAUUCCAGGGCAAAUAGAAAGCAAUAUUGGCAAUGCACACCAGGAGCGUAUUUAAACACAUCUCUAACGCUUUGUUUUUCAUUGCCAUGGUAUCAAAACAGCAAAGGAUUUAUAUUAUUGUAAAUCUAAUUUCUAAAGCUUGUUUUUUGUUUGCUCUCUUUAAAAAAACCCAUCAAACUCUACUUUUAAAAUCAAAUUAAUUAGAUAGAAGCAGCAAGUGUACAGGCUGUUCUACAACAUAUUUACAUACUGUUAUUUAGUUGUGUUCUAAGACGUUGUCGAGGGUUGUGAUUGCAGGAUGGCAAUAAAACCCCAGCAGAUGUAUUGUUAAUCUCCUCUCCCCCCGCUUCCCCUCUUGCCCCUCCCUCUGCCCCCUUCCCACUCAGGACAGGUGAUCGGGAGGGAAAGAAGGACAGAGAGAAGAGAGUUGGAAAAAUUAAAAAUGUUUUACUAAUGCUACUAAUAAGAAUAGAGAAAAUAAUACAAAAUAUACAAAACCAAUCUUGAAAGUCUCAGCAACUGCAGAGCCAGCACCAAAGUCCUGGAUUGGACUCUGCAGCCCAGCUCGGAGCUGGAUUCAGUCUCUUACUAGGCCUCAGUUCACAGGGACGACUAGCAAGGUCCUCUCCUAAUGUCAGCCAUAAGGAAAAGGAAAGAAGGAGGACGAGAUCCUCGUGAUCUCCCACUUUUAUAUGAAGUAUUUACGUGAAUGGAAUGUUAUACACAGUUGGUCAGUUUCUUGGUCACCUGUUUCUCGUUGCCCCUCUCGCUAGAGGUGCAUCCAUGCUUAUCAAUAACUUUGCAUUCCAUUGCUAUGUUUACCAAAACAUGUAUCUGGUUCUCCAGGAAAAUGCAGCUAAUAUGAAGGCUUUAGCUGACAGGCAACUUCGCUAAAAGAGAAACUUGGUUUUUAACAAAACCAGGACAGACAUAGUUCCUAGUAAUAAUAAUAAGAGGGUUGUUUUUUGUUUGUUUUAAUAAAUUGGAAAUUAAUAUACCCUGCAAUUUGGAAAAGAUGGAACUGGGUCAUUGAACCAGCUGAAGUCAUGGUUGAUAUUUUGAGAUAAUUUUGCAUUGAUCAAUAGUAUUUGGAUAAAGUCUUUAUGGGCAAUGGUUGUUUUAAAGAAUGAAAGCAUAUUUGCACCUGUCUGGAGUAGUUCUGUGCAUUUAGUCCCAGCUGUUAGAAAGCAAGUGAUGUUUCUGCUUGUGUAGCACCUGUUUUUGAUUUCAGAGGGGAAACAGAAGAAAAUUACUUCAACGGGUGGUGACAUUAAAUACAGCUGCUGCCUGGCAGAAAGCAUGUUAUCUCCCUUUUACCCAAGUGAAAACACUUCUGCCUUGCAUCAUGGAUAGGAUCAGAGCUCCAGCUGUGUUCUCCCAGAGGAAGAGAGAGAAAGGGAUGCGUUCCCCAAAGCUUUCCUGCAGUUAUGAAAUAAAGUUCAAUAAGUUUGUCAUAUUUAUUAUGCAGAGGAAGAUGGGAAUGACCAGAAGGAUGUUUUUGAUGGAUCUGGCAAGAAGAAAAGGUUUCAGAGUAGAAAGUGAGCUAAGUGACUCCGUCACUCAUAUUGUGGCUGAGAACAACUCUUACUUGGAGGUGCUGGACUGGCUGAGAGGACAGGCUGUGGGUGACAGCUCCAGGUUUGAACUGCUGGAUAUCUCCUGGUUCACAGCCUGCAUGGAAGCGGGAAGACCAGUUGAUACAGAAAUGAAGUAUCGUCUUAUGGAACAAGAUCAGUCAUCUCCUUUGAAUACACCUGAAUCAGAGGUGCCAUCUUUUAUUGCAAGCAAGGUAUCUCAGUAUUCGUGUCAAAGGAAGACAACUUUAAAUAACUACAACAAGAAAUUCACGGAUGCCUUUGAGAUAAUGGCUGAAAAUUAUGAGUUCAAAGAAAAUGAAAUAUUUUCCCUGGAAUUUCAAAGGGCAGCUUCUGUGCUGAAAUUUCUUCCAUUUCCAGUAACCAGAAUGAAAGAUAUACAAGGGUUGCCCUGCAUGGGAGACCGAGUCAGAGAUGUCAUUGAGGAAAUUCUUGAAGAAGGAGAGAGUUCUAGAGCUAAAGAAGUGUUAAAUGAUGAACGAUACAAAUCAUUUAAGCAAUUUACUUCAGUCUUUGGAGUGGGAGUGAAGACAUCUGAAAAAUGGUACAGAAUGGGUUUACGAACCCUGGAAGAGGUAAAAGCUGACAAGACCGUGAAGCUGUCAAAAAUGCAGAAGGCAGGGUUUCUUUACUAUGAGGACCUUGUUAGCUGUGUAUCUAAGGCAGAAGCAGAUGCAGUAAACAUGGUUGUCAAGAAUACGGUAUAUACUUUUCUACCAGAUGCUUUGGUUACCAUAACUGGUGGUUUUAGGAGGGGUAAGAACAUUGGGCAUGAUAUAGAUUUUUUGAUCACCAGUCCAGGAUCAAGAGAAGAUUAUGAACUUCUGCAUAAAAUUGUGGACUUAUGGAAAAAGCAGGGUCUACUCCUAUAUUGCGAUAUCGUUGAAUCAACAUUUACAAAAGAACAGCUACCGAGCAGACAAGUUGAUGCCAUGGAUAAUUUUCAGAAGUGUUUUGCAAUUUUAAAAUUAUGUCAGCCAAGAGCAGACAACAGCAGUGACAACACAUCAAAAAACCUUGAUAUGGCAGAAGACAAACACUGGAAAGCAAUCCGUGUUGAUCUGGUCAUAACACCCUUUGAGCAAUAUGCAUAUGCUCUGUUGGGUUGGACAGGCUCCAGGCAAUUUGGACGUGAUUUGCGGAGGUAUGCUACUCAUGAAAGGAAGAUGAUAUUGGAUAACCAUGCCUUAUAUGACAGGACAAAGGGGUUCAGUUCUUCAUCAUGCCUUGGCAAAACUGUGGCUCAACAGGACUGAGAUAUGGAUCAGGCACUUGAAAGAAUGGGAAUGACGUAGAAUAACAAUAAGCCAGUGGCUACCAACUGAUUGAGAGAACCUUUCUCAAAGCUGCAAGUGAGGAAGAAAUCUUUGCACAUCUUGGCUUGGAUUACAUCGAACCGUGGGAAAGGAAUGCUUAACACCAUUUUGCAGUGUACAUUCAUCAGUUGACACCAAUGGUCUUUCACCUAUCUUGUAGUCUGAUUUUGAUGUACACAAAAUAUAUGUCUCUAUGACAAGUAAAAAAAUUUAAAACUGUAUUAGUUAGAAGUCAUUAUACAUGUUGAUAUUCCUAGAAGAGAAGAGUUUAAGUUCUUCUGAAUCCUUUCCAGUCUUUUCCAUUUUAGUCUUUUAAGUUUCUACGUGUGAGUGUCAAGAUAGACCUUGUUUUUGGAAGAAAACUUGAAACUGGUGAGAUCUUUGCUUGUGAUAAGAAUUUAACAUCUCCGUGAUUAAUCCUUGGAUGUUAAAAUCCUCUCCGCUAUGACAAUACCUAAAUAAUACAGAAUAUUUGAGCUCAGUCCAAAAAAUACUGAAAUGCAUGCUUAUCUUUAACUGAAUUUCUUAAAUAUUUUGCUGAAUUCAUGUAUGAAAAUCACUGCUGAGUAUAAAGCUUAACAACCUAGGCAGUAAUUAGCCUGUCAGGCUCAGCAAGUUGAGACUUCAGCUGUAAUAGUUUUCCAGGUGGGGAAUUACUCUACAAAAACCAUAAACAAGUUGAGAAUUUAGUGAGAGUUCAAAACAUUUCACACAAAGAGAUUUUGGAAAGUAAAAGUGGAAAAUCUCAGUAGCAAUCUUCAAUUGUGAGGAAAAAUACUAUAAAUUUGGAGUACUGAUUUUGACUAAAGAAGAUUCAAGUGGUGACGUGAUGGUCCUCUAUAAGGACUUUGAAUUAUAACCUGCAUGAAAACAACAGCUUAAACUGUCAAGCUCAUGACUGCUCUGAAGUGAGAGCUUUUAAUUGUCCACACUCAAUUUCAAUAGCUGGAAAUUUAUUUAUUAGUAGAUUUAUAUGCAUUGGAAUGGAAGCUUACCUGAACUGUUUGGCUAUUGGAUGCUCUAGAAUGGUAUUCCUUCUUUUUUUGUCAGAAAUUAAUCUGAGAUGCGAGAGACUUUCUGAUAAAAGUACUCCUAUGUGAUAUUUUGGGUUCAGAAAAUUUCCAGGUAGUUCUUGUGACUGUAGUGAUAAUGAAGAAUUUGUAAUAAAUUUACCCUCUAUUGUACAAGGGCAUUUAGUACAUUAGUACAUGAAGUUACUUAAUGACCAUUCAUUUGUCAUUUGUAGAAUAAAGGUGAUUAAGAACACCAA